CAUUAAUGGAGUGGAGAUAAAUAAUAAUUGUGAAGCUGGAAAUUCUUAAAUGCAUUCAGAGGGACAUCAGGUAAAAGAGUGAGUUCCAGCAACAUAUAUCUUCUAAAAUAUGUGUGAUCAGAUAUAGAAUUUUAUAGUUAUCAAUGGUUUUGGAGGAAAAUGAACAGAAAUUUGGGAAAAAGUUACAGAUUAUGUAUGCUGCGGAGAAAGAUGUCGUUCAGAUGAUCAACCAGAAAUGUGCUGAUGCCAGGUCAACGUUAGCAGCAUCGUGCAAAAAAACAAACUUAACAUUUAUGACAAUGCACUGAAAAUUUGCUGCGUAUAUAGUUUUUACUUAUAGCGUUAAAUUUUUUAGUGAAAUGACAUUGUUGAUAUUUAAUUAACUUCUUUUUUUUCUUUCUAAAAUGCUAUUUUAUGUGUAUAAACUGUUCUAUUUUUAGUUAGAAGAAACCUGAACAUUGUAAAUAUUAACUUUGUUCUCUUUUUUGUUAUUGGUGAUUUUUUUGGACUGAAAUACUCAAUGUACAUAAAGUUUAAACUUAAAUUAAUAAAGUGAUAGUAACAAUAUGUGCUGCUUUUAUAUCAUUAUUCUGCUGUGGACACAUGGUUAAAUAUGUACGAUUUUUGUUGGCCAUACCUGUAACUUAGCUUGAUUAUAAUUGUGCAUAAUCAUCAAUUGACAGAAAUUUAUUGAAAACUGUACUUGCUGACAGUGAAUUUUAAUAUAUAACCUUCAUAUUGUACCUU
rnacentral:lncRNA from 1 species